GCCCGGCUAGCUCAAUCGGUAGAGCGUGAGACUCUUAAGGAGGAUUAUGUAAUCUCAAGGUUGUGGGUUCGACCCCCACGUCGGGCU
rnacentral:tRNA from 1 species